rnacentral:pre_miRNA from 1 species
AUGCAGCCAAGGAUGACUUGCCGGCGUUUGCUUAGUGACCUAUCUAGAUUUGGCAUAUACCUCAAGCCGGCAAGCUGUUCUUGGCUACAU